UGCCAGCCGCCGCGGUAAUUCCAGCUCCACUAGCGUAUAUUAAAGUUGUUGCGGUUGAAACGCUCGUAGUUUGACUUCUGCUCCGGACCGGCGGUCCGCCUUAGCGGCGGCUACUGCCGGGUUCCGAGCUGUGUCCCCGCCGGCGCACAUGGGGUUUUUAUGCCCUUAACCGGGUGUCCCCUUGUGGCCGGCACGUUUACUUUGAAAAAAUUAGAGUGCUCAGAGCAGGCUGGUUUUUGCUUACAGCCCGAAUGGUCGUGCAUGGAAUGAUGGAACAGGACCUCGGUUCUAUUUUGUCGGUUUUUCGGAACCCGAGGUAAUGAUUAAUAGAAGCAGACGGGGGCAUUCGUACUGCGACGCUAGAGGUGAAAUUCUUAGACCGUCGCAUGACGACCUACUGCGAAAGCAUCUGCCAAGGAUGUUUUCAUUGAUCAAGAACGAAAGUUAGAGGUUCGAAGGCGAUCAGAUACCGCCCUAGUUCUAACCUUAAACGAUGCUGACUAGCGAUCCGCCGCAGUUAUUCCCAUGACCCGGCGGGUAGCUUCCGGGAAACCAAAGUCUUUGAGUUCCGGGGGAAGUAUGGUUGCAAAGCUGAAACUUAAAGGAAUUGACGGAAGGGCACCACCAGGAGUGGAGCCUGCGGCUCAAUUUGACUCAACACGGGGAAACUCACCAGGCCAGGACACCGGAAGGAUUGACAGAAUGAAGGCUCUUUCUCGAUUCGGUGGGUGGUGGUGCAUGGCCGUUCUUAGUUGGUGGAGUGAUCUGUCUGGUUAAUUCCGAUAACGAACGAGACUCUAGCCUGCUAAAUAGUCGACGGAUCUCAACCCCGUUGCCCCCGUUGUCGUUCGCGGCGAUGCGGGGCGCGGGUUCCCCGAAACCCGGUCGUCGUGCGGGCCUCCACCGUCGGUCGGUUAGCGCCGCCGGCGGCGCGCCCCGCGGCGCCGGAAACUGGCGUCCGCUUCGCAGUCUUCUUCUUAGAGGGAUAAGCGGCAGCAAAAAAUAUACUAGCCGCACGAGAGUUUGAGCCAUAACAGGUCUGUGAUGCCCUUAGAUGUUCUGGGCCGCACGCGCGCUACAAUGGAGAGUUCAGCGAGCUGGCCCUGCUCCGAGAGGAGCGGGUAACCUCGUGAAAGCUGUCCUUAAAGGGGAUUGGGGCUUGCAAAUGUUCCCCAUGAACGAGGAAUUCCCAGUAGGCGCAAUUCACCAGAUUGCGCCGAUUUAGUCCCUGCCCUUUGUACACACCGCCCGUCGCUACUACCGAUUGAAUGGUCUAGUGAGGGCACCGGACUGGCGCCCUUGGAGCCGCUACCGCCUCGGCGGGCAGCGCCCUCGGGUCGACGGAAAGGUGUCCAAGCUGGGUCAUUUAGAGGAAGUAAAAGUCGUAACAAGGUUUCCGUAGGUGAACCUGCGGAAG
rnacentral:rRNA from 1 species